ACAGUAGAGGGAAAUACAGUGUCCCUGUUGAAGCCAGCACACAUGCACACAGUCUCCUGCACAGAGGGUGAACCAAAUGAUGAAGACACUCUGUCUGUGUCUUCAGAGACAGUUGCUGAGGAUUUUUCACAACCUGCCCCAGAAACUGAAGCCUCUACCUCAAUGGGCUUCAGAAGGAAUGUGAACU